rnacentral:lncRNA from 1 species
CGGAGCUGGCAGGGCCCCAGGUUAACUUGGUGACUCCGGGCCAGUACAACAAAUUUACUGUUAUUCCCGCUUGGUAAUUAACACCCUUGCUGCCUGCUCCAGCAGCUGAUGCAAGAGAGAUUUAAGGGAAUAUUUUAAUCUGAAAUCUAGCGGCAGGGAGAUAAGAGUGGCGUGGCGAGGCUGGGCUGCAAUCGACAUAUUUAUCGUCCGAGGCUGACCAUCCAACGAUGCCUUUCAGAUCAUGUUUUAAAACCUUCCCCGUCUGGCGUUGGGAACGCAGCCGCGGCUUGGUGGUGGAUAGCAAGAGGCAAAGGUCAGACCGGAGGCUGCACAAAUAUUGUGCGCUGGAUUUAUUGUUUUAAUUAAGAGCGUGGCAGUUCAUCAUAAACUGUUUAUGGCGUUUCUGCACAGUGCAGCAUUUUGAAAUCAGCUGUUUUAAUGAAAACAUAAUGUCAUAUCUGUCAAAGUUCUAAAUAUUUUGAAAGUGAAAUAUGGAAACAAGAACUUUGAUUCUAGGCUUACCGAGAUUAGCUCAUUGAAUUGCUUUUAAAUCCCUUAAGAGGGUCACAUCAUGGGGACCGUAUGGUUUCAUGUAGGUGACUGGGGAAAAAAAAAUUCUAGGAGGUUCUCAAGCUGGUUAUUUAAUAGUGAAAAUACAAGUUGAAGGUUAAUGUAUCAAGAAACCAAACCAUUACGGUUGGCGUUGGGGUUUUAGAUUAAAGAUGCAAU